CCGCGCCUCAAAGGCGGAGUGCGGGGCUGUGGGAGAAAACGAGAGCCUCGGGCUGUCGCCCGGCGACGGGCGGCUGAGGCCUUCGUAUUCUUAGAACUUUUAGAAUCUGAAGCAAACUUAUCUUCCCCCUGUCUGAAGAAGGGGAGCAGGUUUCUGAGUACUCCGGGGCGCGGUGCCUCCCCCUAAACGCGAAUGGUGCGCUCCAAGCGGGAGGGGGAGGAGCAGAUUAGUUGUGUAGGGUAAAUUGGGCCAGUCCCAGAGUGGCGGCGCAUGCGCCCGUAGAACCCGUAACCGAGUGCGAGGAGGGGCCUGGGGGAGCAAUGCCAAACGCGGAAGUGGAGCUCUGGCUUCCCGGGGGCGUCGGAGUCAAGGUCCCUGGAGCUGCCGCUCUGGCUCCUGGGCGAUUCCGGGGAGCCAUUCUCCCCAAUUUGCCAACUCCCUGGGCAUCUCUCUCUCUCUUCCUGGUCCCGCCACACCCAAACAACUCUUAUAGUUCCACCCGGUAUACUGGUCUCUUGACAGGAACUUUUGGGAAAUGCCCCUCCCCCAGCCCCUUGUCUGGGGCAACUUCCUUGUCUCUUCUCCCCCACCGGUGUUGGGGAGUUCCUUGUCUCCACUCCCAACCACAGAGCCACAAGUACAUUAUCUAUGCCCAGGCGAGUCCCUAUGCCCAGGCUAGGAGAGCCGCACUUCUUCCUACAGCUGACACGUUUGGUUUUUGGAGGGGAAAGGGGAGCUGUAGCUGAAUCAGUAAUGGAAAUUGGUUCUUCCAUCUCUGCUUCUCUCUACAAAGCUGCUUUAUAAUCUCGGCAGAGCUGUUUUCACUGCUUUUUUGGGAACGUAAUCCAGGUUUACCCAGCCUCACUUCAAGAACAAACAGAGACUAAUUAGUAUCUAUGAAUCCCAAUCCCCAGGAGAAAGAAACUGAUUGGUUCGAUUUAUGUCCGCUUGUGUACUCUUGGUACAAUCACCUUUGACCAACAGGGCAGUUAUGUAGUCAGGUCUUUUUGUUUUGUAAAGCAGACAUGGCUGCCAGAACCCCAUCUUUGUAGGCUAUGUUCUCAAAGUUAUGUACUUGGCAAAGAUUCCAAAAAAUGUCCACCACAGACCAUAAAGGAGUAAAUUGCAGCUGAACUUCAAAAGCAUAAAGAACAAUUGACAUGUUAAGGAUUUUCAACAGACUGACUCCUACUUAAACAAAUUCAGACCUGAAUUUAAAUGGAACUCCUUCAAAGAAGUCAUCCCUGACCCAAGCCCCAAUCAAAAUUUGGUGGCCCCAUUAUUAUCUUACAUGGCACUCUUUUUCUUUAUAGUACCUAUCAUAGUUUAAAUAUGUAUUUGUGAGUCUCCUCUCCAAAAAUCAUGUCUGUUUUGUUUACUGUGAUAUACACAAUACUCAAGGUGCAUUUGGGAGGCGUUCAAUAAAUGUUGUAUGAAUAAAAGCA
rnacentral:lncRNA from 1 species